ensembl:lncRNA
GACAAAUGUUCUGCUACAGAAUUGUCAGUGAUAAAGAAAAGAAAAGGGAAAAGAAGCAUGUGUAAUCCAGAGGACAUUGCCAGUCACACAGAAAGCAGAGCUGAGCUGGUUUUUCUGUGCACCAUCCAUUUCAGUUGGCAGUCAAGGGCCUUAAGUGGCCUUGUCUUGGAAAACCUUAGGAAGCCUGCCAGAAGAAGAUAGAUGCCAGCACAGUCAGGAUGGUGGCACACAGUACAAGAAAACAGAUUACUGACUUGAAGUUGAUGCUAUUCAAAAGGCAUUAAAGUAAGAUUGCCUUGUUUCUUAACAAGAUUGCCCAGAAUAACUCCUCCUGAAGCUAGCUUCUUCAUAACCUCAGCCGGGAUUAUUCAGAUCUAGUAAGGGAGUCUGUUGCUCUGCUACUAAAGUGAGACAAAAGGAACGCUGGAUAUCUGAGAAGAAAAAUUAUUUGGGCCAUUUCUUCAGUCAAGCAGUGAGGCUGUCUGUUUGUUCCGGCCAAGGCCCCCACCAGGCUGCAAAUAGGUUCUCCAAGUGAAAACUGCAGCUACUCAUCAAACCAGAGUGUUAUUCUGGGAAUACGGCCUGGGAUUGGGAGAAUCUUACCUAUCAUAUUUAAGAAGAUACUUUCUGAACAGCUUAGAUCAACAUUUUGAGAACCUUCAGAGUGUUUUGUAUUGCCCAUAUUUGUCUUUCUAGAGUGUGAUGGUUCUCUGAUUUUAAGUAUUUUUUCUGUCUUUACAUUUACUUUUUCUCCUUGAGUCUUUACAAAUUUUUAAGUUUUCUCCUGUGAAAUCUUUCAACUCCUUGUUCUGUUGGCCUGCUGUAAGUGGAAAUCUUUUAUGUUCUUGCAGAACUUAAACAAUUCCAAUGAGUUAGCGAGUCUGAAAAACAUACAAUAAAACCAAAUUAUUCAUAUACGCAGAAUUCUUAAAAACUGCAGACUAGCAAGAUCUUUUUUUUUCCUGGCAAUAGCAUAAUUUGUAAUCACCUUUUUUUUUUCUUUUUUUUUUCUGUACUUAAGAAAGUGUGAAGUAUUUUGCAUGAAUAAUUAUGUAUGAUCAACUCUUGAGUUUUGUAAUGCAAAAUAAAAUGGGUUUUAUUUUAAAUAAGCUGAAAAAGUAUCCCACUUGCAUGCUGAACAGUCUGCUUUGUCCUAAUGCAGUAUACAAAAACUUAAAAGGUUGUAAUUAAUUUGUAGGUGAAAAAGAAUUUUAGUCAAGAUUUAAUAAGAGCUUAAGAAAAAGAAUUUAAGAACUGUAGGAAAUUUGAAAAAUCAAUUAAAAAAACAAGAGUACAAAUGGAAAAGGGCUGAGGCCUCAUAUAUUUCAUUGACCAAACUGGUACACAGAGCUUGUAUUCACAGAAUGACAUCUUCUUCAGACUAGAAUAUGCCAGCACAAUAAGGGGUGAUCCUAGCACUAUGGUAAGAUCAACUGAAGAACAUCAAAAUAGUGCAUAUAGUUUAAGAAACUGUUUUCCUGGAUUGUCUACUAACUGUAUGUGCUCCAUACUAAGAAAAACAACUCAGCACAUUUAGAGAAGGUCUUGAUUUAUCAGUUUAUAACUUGUUCUCUGUUAUAAACAGAUACAGUGACUAUGGUCCUUGCUUACAAAUAACAUUUUUUUUUUUUGCAUAAUUUGAGUUAUUCUAUGCUGUUGACAGAAAUCCUUCUGUUGUAUUCUGCCUUCAUGUUGCAAGAACACCAAUGAAAAAUCAGUACUUUUUGUAGCCUUAGCACUCAGUGAUGUUGUUCUGUCUCAUACCUGUGCCAUACAUUUGCACAAGCAGAAUGAUAGGGGUUUGCAGUUUAGAGAUAUCCAGUGACUUUCUGUCUAAGGUACCCAAAGAUUUCAAAAUCUUAAAUUUCAACCAAAACAUCACUGAAAUAUUGUCUUUCUUCAUAAUCAACAAUCAGGUACAAAUUAGCCGUCUAUUUUCCAGCUAGUUCUACACUAGCAGAAAUUUCUCAAAUGUCUAGCAAAAUGCAAUUAAAGUAACAUUUUUUUUCCCCAAAAAUUUCACUAAUGAACAAUAGUUUACUUUUUUAAUUCUUUUCUUUAUUUAAUUAUUUGUUUUUAAUAAGGACCUUUAUAUGAGUUAAAAAAACCCAACAACAACAACAAAAAAAGCCAAAAUGCAGGUGUGCCUAGCCUGUAUGAGAAACCAUUAAAAGUUAAUGCAGUCCACAGAAGAUCCGUGAACAAACUUAGCGAUGUGUAUAUGUAGAAGUUAGACUGCUUUAGACUUCAAAGACCCUCUCAUCAGAUAUUCUGGCAAUGUUCGGUCUCUUCCAUGUAACUUAGGAUGCUCCUGUGAACUUUCUAAUGUAUUGCUUGUGUUUCUCAAGGACAAAUUUGGAAUUAAUCCUUUUUAAUUUCUGCCAACCUCUUACAGAUGAUAUUUCAUGCUACCAGUAAUAAGGAAUAUGCAAAGACAAAAGAAUAAGGAGUCAAAAAGCAAAAAACAAGGAUAUAAUAUUACAUUGCUUCUUAAUGAAGACAUGACUGUAACCUCUUCAGUGUUCAUGUAUGGGUAUUUAUACUUUUUAAUUAUUGUUAUUUCUAUCACAAUUUUGUUUCUCUUACACGGAAUCAUUUUAUUAAAGUGAAGGAUAACUUUUGACAAGUAUGCUUCUGUUUAAGAAGUGAGGUAAUAAAAUAUAACAUUAGUGAAGCUGGGGCAGACUACAGUGACGAGUUCAGGGAUAUUGUCAGAAGAGCUUCUGAUCUUCAAAAAUAUCACCAAAAAAGUUAUUUUUAAAUCCAGUCAUGUUCGUAAUUUUAAGAGGGCUGUCUCAUAGCAAUUUAGCACUUGUUGGACUCUGAAUUACUUGUUUUUGGUGCAAUUGCCUUUUGUCCACAAAAUUGGGUCUAUGUAUGCAUCAUUGUACAUACAAAUCAAAAAUAUAUAUCAGAAUACCUCACUGUUGGACAUAAUGUUGGAUGUAGUUGUACCAUGGAAAUAUUUCAAUAAGAGGAAAUAUGAAGGACAUAUGCAUAAUGUGUUUGAAGUGUGACAUUCUAAUCACACUGUCUUACUGGGAAAAGAGAAUUCCUAUUGUCUUCUCAAAUUAAACUACUCUUAAUAAUUACUUUCCUGUACGUGUUGUAGUAUGUAAAAAUUGGGCAUUGAAAGAUAAACUACAGCAAAAUAAGUAAAACAAAAGACAGUGAAUUUGUAUUGGUUUGCUAGGUACGCAUAUUCCUGACACUCAUGACCUCUGAGGAAGUGACAGCACAUACAAGUGUAUCUGGAAUAUAAUAAAGAAAUAGCUAGCCUGCUUCUUUAUUUCUAAAACCUGUUUCAGGGAGCCUUACCUAUGUUCAUUUUUUCUCAUCUGACUUCUGUAAGCUGUUUUAUUCCCAAUGCUUUUACCAAAAUGAAAUAUAGUUUAGGCCAUCAUCUGUCCACAGGCCAGCCUGGCUCAGAUGUGUCUCCCUGAGAAGAGCCCAUGUGAUGGUGUCCCCCCUCCACCAUAAUCUGCGUCAAACUAUGUGGAGCUGAAGGAACUGAUAGCAGACACCAGGUUCAACAGCUGAGGACCAUGUGUCUUAACAGCAUGUGUUUUAAAAGCAUGUGUCUUAAAAGCAACUUAUGACUAUGAGUCAAUCAUUUUACUCCCGUUUAUAGUGAGCAGUAUGGCACCUGGCAACCUGAUGGGAGUUCUCCUUGAGCAAAGAUGCCUCUUGAGGUUAUGCAUGUGCAGGGAUCCCUUGCAUCUUGAUGUCAAGAGGCCUUGCUGACACAGAUCCUUGAUAAGUGACUAAUAGUUUGUUUUAGGCUUUGUUAGCUUUGCUAAGAUCACAUCUUAGAUUGAUUGUAAGCUUUGUUAGCUUUCUAAGAUUGCACUGUGUACCUUGGAUUGACUGUGCACAUGUAAUCCCUUAGACAUAAACCAUUGUCCAAGUGUGGGACUAGGAGUGUGACUGUUACAUCAUUAUACCUAUGUUAUGUCAAUAAAUAUAUUCUUGUUUCUCU